rnacentral:sRNA from 2 species
AGAAACCAACCAAGGAUUGCCCUAGUAACGGCGAGUGAAGCGGCAACAGCUCAAAUUUGAAAUCUGGCUUCGGCCCGAGUUGUAAUUUGCAGAGGAAGCUUUAGGCGCGGCACCUUCUGAGUCCCCUGGAACGGGGCGCCACAGAGGGUGAGAGCCCCGUAUAGUUGGAUGCCUAGCCUGUGUAAAGCUCCUUCGACGAGUCGAGUAGUUUGGGAAUGCUGCUCAAAAUGGGAGGUAAAUUUCUUCUAAAGCUAAAUACCGGCCAGAGACCGAUAGCGCACAAGUAGAGUGAUCGAAAGAGCACUUUGAAAAGAGGGUUAAAUAGCACGUGAAAUUGUUGAAAGGGAAGCGCUUGUGACCAGACUUGCGCCCGGCUGAUCAUCCGGUGUUCUCACCGGUGCACUCUGCCGGGCUCAGGCCAGCAUCGGUUCUCGCGGGGGGAUAAAGGCCCUGGGAACGUAGCUCCUCCGGGAGUGUUAUAGCCCAGGGUGUAAUGCCCUCGCGGGGACCGAGGUUCGCGC